UGGGGAAUAUUGCACAAUGGGCGCAAGCCUGAUGCAGCCAUGCCGCGUGUAUGAAGAAGGCCUUCGGGUUGUAAAGUACUUUCAGUCGGGAGGAAGGUGGUAAGGUUAAUAACAUUAUCAAUUGACGUUACCGACAGAAGAAGCACCGGCUAACUCCGUGCCAGCAGCCGCGGUAAUACGGAGGGUGCAAGCGUUAAUCGGAAUUACUGGGCGUAAAGCGCACGCAGGCGGUUGAUUGAGUCAGAUGUGAAAUCCCCGGGCUUAACCCGGGAAUUGCAUCUGAUACUGGUCAGCUAGAGUCUUGUAGAGGGGGGUAGAAUUCCAUGUGUAGCGGUGAAAUGCGUAGAGAUGUGGAGGAAUACCGGUGGCGAAGGCGGCCCCCUGGACAAAGACUGACGCUCAGGUGCGAAAGCGUGGGGAGCAAACAGG
rnacentral:rRNA from 1 species